rnacentral:rRNA from 1 species
UUUGAAAUCUGGCGGUCUCAGGCCGUCCGAGUUGUAAUCUAGAGAGGUGUUUUCCGUGCCGGACCGCGUACAAGUCCCUUGGAACAGGGCGUCAUAGAGGGUGAGAAUCCCGUCCGUGACGCGGACUACCGGUGCUCUGUGAUACACCUUCAAAGAGUCGAGUUGUUUGGGAAUGCAGCUCAAAAUGGGUGGUAAAUUCCAUCUAAAGCUAAAUACAGGCGAGAGACCGAUAGCGAACAAGUACCGUGAGGGAAAGAUGAAAAGAACUUUGGAAAGAGAGUUAAACAGUACGUGAAAUUGUUGAAAGGGAAACGCUUGAAGUCAGUCGCGUCUGUCGGGACUCAGCCUUGCUUCUGCUUGGUGCACUUCUCGGUAGAUGGGCCAGCAUCAAUUUUGGUUGCCGGAAAAGGGUGGGAGGAAUGUGGCAGCUUGCUGUGUUAUAGCCUCCUAUCGUACACGGUGACUGGGAUUGAGGAC